CAUUGAAAAAACCAGAACUUCGAAACAAGCAGACAAGGCUACACAGUGUUUUUGCUCUGACAGCAGCCAGCUUCAUUCAUUGAAUUCACGUGACCAAAGUUCCCCAGGAAGAUUCCCCCACCCAAUCCAACCUGGCUGGAAGGAGGUCCUCCUACCUUGUGGGUCUGCCCAUCUUCUGUGAAUACGAUUUGAACUGCCUGACCCAGGACCUUAGGAGCCAGGCAUGGGCACCUGCCACCCCUGUGCUGCUAUGCAGGGAGGACAGCUUCUAGGACACCAGGAGCCGCGAUGUCCUAAUACGAAAGAAGGAACAGGGAAAAAGACGCGGAGCAACUAGGCCCGUGAACCACAGCUACUGAGCCUGCGUGUCUGGAGCCUGUGCUCCGCAACAAGAGAGGCCGCGAUAGUGAGAGGCCCGCUCACCCUGAUGAAGAGUGGUUCCCGCUCGCUGCAACUAGAGAAAGCCCUCGCACAGAAAGGAAGACCCAAC